AGCGAACGCUGGCGGCAGGCUUAACACAUGCAAGUCGAACGGGCGUAGCAAUACGUCAGUGGCAGACGGGUGAGUAACACGUGGGAACGUACCUUUUGGUUCGGAACAACUGAGGGAAACUUCAGCUAAUACCGGAUAAGCCCUUACGGGGAAAGAUUUAUCGCCGAAAGAUCGGCCCGCGUCUGAUUAGCUAGUUGGUGGGGUAAGAGCCCACCAAGGCGACGAUCAGUAGCUGGUCUGAGAGGAUGAUCAGCCACAUUGGGACUGAGACACGGCCCAAACUCCUACGGGAGGCAGCAGUGGGGAAUAUUGGACAAUGGGCGAAAGCCUGAUCCAGCCAUGCCGCGUGAGUGAUGAAGGCCCUAGGGUUGUAAAGCUCUUUUAACGGGGAAGAUAAUGACGGUACCCGUAGAAUAAGCCCCGGCUAACUUCGUGCCAGCAGCCGCGGUAAAGUCUGUACU
rnacentral:rRNA from 1 species